rnacentral:lncRNA from 1 species
AGGUGGCCUGAAUCCAGGGGCCGGGCAAGGGGGUGGUGUGAAUAGAAAUAGCACAUUUCCCAGGCUUUCAGCCCCGGUACUCUGCCAUCCUUCCAGUUCCAUGCACUCAGCCAGGUCUCCAGGCUGGAGCAAGGGCUGGGGGUCAAUGGGUCCUUCCUUCUCUCGGGAAACGUUCUUCUGGCGCGAAGCUGGGCGGAGGGAGAGUCGGACAUUUUCCUCUGCUUCUCUCAGGGCAGCUGGCGUGGCCACCUCGCAAGGCUGCUUCUAGGGACACGAGACUCGGGAGGGUCAGAGACUUUCAGGCCGGGCCUUCACUCCCUUCCCCGGGGCACUUGGGCAAGAGUUCCAGCUCUUGGCUACCUCUGGCCCGCGCGUGAGUUCAGACACCCAGCACACGCGACCCCCGCAGGGAAACCCCGGGAAGCUGCGCGCAAUCGCUGGGGACUCGCCAGGGCUCCACUUCCCAAGCUCCGCGCCCCCUGCGCCCAAAGAGGCAGGGCGGAGCAGAGGCCGCCGGCGUGGAGGAGGCGAGCGCGGGGCUGGCCCGGGAGCCGCCCCCGGGGAGGGACUGAGACCUGCCCCAGGAGUCGAGGGCGAGCGGCGGACCCGGCUGGGCCCGGCGCACGCCGAGGAGAGGGAGCCCCCGCCACCGCCGCUGCCUCCGCGUGCUCAGCCUGUCCCCGCCCAGGGAGCCGGAGCCUCCAACUAACUCCGCCCGCCGCUCCGCCGCCCGCAGGCUCCGGCUUCCGUCCCGGACAGAGCCCGUGGUCGCGCAGGUUGGUGUUGUUGCCGCUGCUGCCGCCACUGCGAGGCGGUCAGGGCAAGGGUGAGGGUGGGGGCGCGGAAGGGGGCCUGGGCUCGGGAUCCUGCUGCCACCAAUUCCUGGUGCCCCAGGAGGUUGUUGCUUUUUCUCCCGGGCUGCCCGGGUCGGGGGUGGGGGGAUGGGGCGGGGAUCCAGCGAUGCGGCCAGGGAGGAUUUUGGGGACUGAGCUAUUCUCGCAUUUCCCAAACCUCUCUCACGACCCUUCAUCACCAUUAUUAAGUCCCUGGCCAGUUUGUGAGGGGUCGUCCUCCCCUCCGGUCCUUCUCACCUCCGCACUUCUCCUUGUGCCCUCUCCCUAGGGGGUACAAUUUGUUCAUUCGCCUUUUCUGCCCCCAACUUGGAGAACUCUCCGUGACGCCUAGAAAGCCUCCUCGGUUCUCCGCCCGCCCUUCAGUCUAGUUUGGGGAAGUAGAGGCCGCCGCGGAGUAGCAACCUGGGGUGUGGAGUGGGGGCGAGUGCCGGGAAGCAGUGGAAAUUCCUUCCCCUCUUUCUUUCCCGUCCUUGCCCAGCUUUGCUCUCUUCCUGCCGUUUUGCCAGCCUCCGAAUGUAAUACGCGGGCGAAGGGCGAUCUCCAAGGCAGAAUGGGAAGUAUCCACCACUUGGGAUACUAGUUAAGUCUAGGUUCAGUCACCUUCCCAGCUCUGUGGCCUUGGGACCCGCCCCAUCGGAACCUGUAUGUUGUCAUCUGCAAAAUAUGCGUCAGCUCUGCCUGCCGCUGAGGGUAGUUGUGGGGCUCCCUUGGGAUGACUUAGGGUAUUACGUGAUUUUGAGCACGGUCUCUUGUCUCGUGCAGCUGCCUGAUGGCAGGUCCUGUGUUCUGAUCGUCUGAGUUCAGGUCCUUUGGCUGAGAUGUGAUUAUCUCUCUGGGUGAUUUGGUCAGUAGCUUUGCGGGGCUAAAAGGCAUGUGUUCCUGGAGCUGGUCAUUGGGGUUCAGAGUUGAAAUCGUGUCGUCCCCACCAAUCCCUGUGUACAAAGCUAUGGACCUUACAUCCUGUGCCUUUGUGGUCAUAGAAAUUCAAGUAGAAGGAAGAUCUUAUUGGACUUUGUUUGCUUCAGAUGUUUUACAUUCUUUACAAUCGCUUUUCUCUUCUAGGUGCAAACUUAAAUUUACUGCUAAUUCUAAUAAUCCAGGAAGGAUACUUUCAUUUUAGUAAAAUCAGACAUUUAGCUCAAAUAACAUGUGACAUAUUGUUUGUAAAUUUUCAGUUUAUAAUCACAGGCACAAAAAAGCAUAGUUCAUGCCAUUCUAGUUACUUUAUAAAGCAAGUAAAUGGCCUAAAAAAUCAGCUUUACAGGAAGUCAGGGCUGCAGUGAACUGUGUUUAUACCACUGCACUCCAGCCUCGGUGACAGAGCAAGACCCUGUCUCAAAAAUAAAUAAUCAGCUUUAGAAUUGAUAUUAAAUGGUAAGCCCUGUCGUUCCUGCAUUCCUGACUUAAUAGGCAUUUUCAUUCCGCGAUGCACUCUGCUAUAUGCUUUAAAGAUAUAAAGAUAUAGAGUAUGUUCCUUGUCCUGAAGGGCCUUCCAAGGUAACUUAAAGACUAUGUAGUUUUAUUUCAUAUUUUUAUAUGAACAGUCUUCUAAUGACUAUACAUGGCAAGUAGAAUGAGGUCAAGAAUGCAUUAUCAAAGGCCCUUUAAGAUCAUCAUUUGGCCGGCUGCGGUGGCUCACGCCUGUAAUCCCAGCACUUUGGGAGGCCGAGGCGGGCAAAUCACAAGGUCAGAAGUUCCGUACCAGCCUGGCCGACAUGGUGAAAUCCCAUCUCUACUAAAAAUACAAAAAAUUACUUGGGCAUAGUGGCAGGCACCUGUAAUCCCAGCUACUUGGGAGACUGAGGCAGGAGAAUCGCUUGAACCUGGGAGGUGGAGGUUUCAGUGAGCUGAGAUCACUCCACACACUCCAGCCCUGGUGACAGAGUGAGACUCUCUCAAAAAAAGAUAAAACUAAAUAAAUAAAUAGAUAAAAAAUCAUUUGGUGAGUUUGCAUAAUUGGAA